UCUCUCUCCUCAUUCUCGCCGGAACCCGGAUUUCAACCAAAAUUUCCAGAUUUUAUCCUCUUCCUCCCCUCUUUCCAUUUCUCCAACCAAAAUCAAGAAAUUUGGCCAUUCAAUCCUCCAAAAACCUUAGAACCUGAAGCUAAUUUGGGGGUUUUUGUGAUUUCUUCUUUCCAAGCUUAAAUCAAGGCUAUGGGUUUGGCAAGGAUUUGUGGUGAAGAAGGCCAAGGAGAAGGAAUAGGCCGUGAUUUUUGACGAAGAAAGGGAAACGAUCGUUAAGGAAGCUUAAGCGAAAAUCAUCAGAGUGUGGAGUACGCAGCAUUUUCCAAGUAGGGUUACAACGAGGUCAUUCCGGACGAUUUAGAUUAGAAGUGGGUCGUUGGCAGAGUCUGUGUGUUGCUGUUCCUGUUGCUUGAAGUUCUUCCCUUUUGGUAUUCCAUCGAUUUACUCGCUUUUCUUUCAAUGUUGAACUCUGUGAGGUCCGCCUACCUGGGAGCUCACCUCAUCCCUUUGUUUUGUUGUUAUUGUUGAACUCCUUUCAUUUCAGUUAUGAUGUAAGCCCUAAGGCGCCACAGUGCACUUGCCCACUUUAUUUUUAAGCAUUUCCAGACUUGUUAAUUUGAGUAUUGGGUUGUUGAUUUAAAGUCCUUUCUUAAAAGUUUUUCUUGGUCUCCUAUUUUCUAAAAAUUGCAUUUUCAAAAAGACCUUGUAGUAUUAAGUUGGUAGGUCUACGGUAUGUCUAUGACGUAUCGAGCUCCUAUUGGCUUAAUAUUACAGAGCUGUAUUAUACCCAUUCUGGUCUCCACAUGAGGUGUGUAAUAUGUAUAUGUAAAUGGCUCAGAGAGAAACUGUGAUGCCAAAAAGAGACAUAGAAGCCGAUGAUAAAAUGGUUUGGCUACAUGAAAGAAACAAUUAUCAGGGUGAUAAAAGAUCUGCAGAGACACGUCAAAUUGGUAGUUAAAAAAUCAAUUUGUAGUUGCAAAACUAGUUAAGAAAUUAAUAGAGAAUGAUGGUGGGUUCAAUCAACAAUAGCAUACAAAUCAACCACUACGCAAAACCAUGAAUAUAAUUUUCAUUCUGUAGCUGCAUACUA